rnacentral:rRNA from 1 species
UACGUAGGUGGCAAGCGUUGUCCGGAUUUAUUGGGUUUAAAGGGUGCGUAGGCGGUUCUGUAAGUCAGUGGUGAAAUACGGCAGCUCAACUGUCGAGGUGCCAUUGAUACUGCGGAACUUGAGUACUGAUGAGGUAGGCGGAAUUGACGGUGUAGCGGUGAAAUGCGUAGAUAUAGGAAGGAAUACCAGUGGCGAAGGCGGCCUCCUGGAUCGAUACUGACGCUGAGGAGCGAAAGCGUGGGGAGCGAACAGG